AAUAUCUCCAUGAAAGUUUCACUGCGAUCUCUCAGGAGGAUUCAGUAACUACAGCCAACAUCUAAGUUGCUGAAACAUGAAAUUUCUUCCCUCGAAUAGACAACCUUGGAACGUCUAACCCAAAAGAAAUCCCAUUAGUCAUACACUGAGUCUGUCUCUGGGAAAAUUGCUAGUGGAAGUGGGACAAAUAGGCCAGGCUCAGUUACAUCUCUUAUUCUGCUCUGUAAUGGCCUCAUGGAUAGCCAGACUAUUUUUCUUAUGAGAGUCUGAGAAGAGGAGGGUCCAACAGUUUCUGCUUCGUGAUGGGAGAAGAGCAAAAUCAGAGACAGCCCAGCAUGCAUCUCUUCCCCUCAGUGGCCAGACCAACAUCCGAACUUAUUACAUUUUUAAAGAAAAAUCAAGAAAGAAGAAGGGAAUGUAUCAGUGCAAAGAGACGAAAGGAAGAUUGGGGCUAGAGAAAGUUGAUGAAAACAGGCCAGAGAUCUUGAAUAGAUGUGGCAGUCAAUCUGAAAGUAACUCAGGCACCCAUGAAUCUGAUCAACACACAGGGAGGUCUUGGAGCUUGAUAACAUGCUAACCUUUGAAGGGCAGGUGAAAUAUUUCCUACUGAAUUUGUAAACAGGAGGAAUGAAGGUGUGGGGUGCAAACUAUAUGCAAUGCAGUAGCAACUGCAACUACCAACUUGCUGUUUGCAUGUGCGCACACACCUUUUGGGGGCUGCCAGUACUGCUUGGCUGUUGGUCCUACUAAAAUCAAUGGGGGGGUUGCCAUUGAGCUCAAUGGGAGCAGCACAUACCCAUUUUGUGCCUGCAAUUUAAGCUGCAUGCCUUGAAAAUCUAUUUGAUUUUUACUGGAGUAAACAGGGAAGCUGUUGUGCCACAGGGUUUCCAAGCAACACAAUCUCUAAUGAAAGAGAAUUUUUAAAAACUCACUGAUUUACCAUGUUAAAAAAGAUGGCACAUUUAUUGCUACAUAAAUGUUAUAUACAUAGUGUUUUCUGUUACAUUGACAGAAAAUUUUUUGAACUUCUUGCUGCUGGUUGAAAAGGUUUUAUCAGCAAUACCUUGAAAUUUGACACAGGGUACAAAUCUGCAAUAAACCAACAAUGGAAACUGGAGAACAAGAUGAGAAGCAAUUCAUCUCGGACAAUUAGCUCUUACAAUACUCCAUAGGUACUACACGGUAUGCUAGAACCCUACUAUGGUCUUACAAUGCUAUUGUAAAUUUCUGAUAUUAAUGAACAUGUUAUGGUAAAUAACCCUACAUUUUUACUACCUAAUAUAGUAAAAUAAAGUAAGAAACUUUUUACUGAAAACUUUUUCGAUUUCAAAAAUCUAGAAAGAGUAAUAUUUAGAAUUCAAGAAAUUUUCUUACAAGAUUAUUGUAUAAAAGACUAGCUACAGUGAAAAAUAAGCCAAAUGUUUUUUUCUUUCUAUUUUAUGAAGGAAAGCUUCUGGGCAUACUGCAAAGUCUAAUAUAGCCAAAAAGACGACAAGCUUAGAAGGAAAAAGGCCUGGCAGUGGCACGUGAUCACUUUCACACGUCAUAAGCGACAAAUUUGUUUAGCUGAUAAACACUGAAAUGAAGAACAAGGCCACAGAUAUAGUCAGAUAUUAUCUGAUGAUAUAUUCAAAUUAAUUAAAGUAAUAGAAUGAAAUCACUAAUUUCACAAACAACUGGUUUGUUAGGAAUCAUCCAAAACGUGAUUUUAAAUUCAUUAGUCUGUUUUAACAGUCUUUUUUUUUUGUUCUUUUAAAUUAAUUGAAAUUAUUUAAAAUGAUUAACUGUUUUGUUCCUUUUUUGUGUAUGAGCUGAUAGGGUAUUGCCUAUUUCACUGGUGGCAAACAAUAGCUAAGACAACCUUGGCUUGAUAGUUUUCCCCCAUGGUCAUUGCAGUGGAAGACAGUUUCCAUGGAAGUUCAGAGGGAUUUUAACAAUCAACACAUUAGUGACAAAGGAAUACUUAUGGACACUGUUCUGGUGGAGCAACAUUUAAUGAUUUAAUGCUAAUAUGGCUUGGGAGGGGGCAGUUUGUUUGCAACUGAUUGAAUCACACUGAAUUCUUCUCCACUGACAAGCCAUACAAAAAUGACAAGAUAAUUAAUGUAUACAAUAAGUAAAAAGAUUGGUGACCAUUGCUCUUAUCUCCCAUUAUGUAAUUAGCCCACCACAGCUGUGUUUAGUUCAUCACACUACCUGCCAUGGUGAAUUUAGGAUUUUACUGUUCACCAUAAUUACAGCCCGAAAAGUCUCCUUUGUAUUUUAAUGCAUUUUGUGCUUACGUACAGCUAACACUUUACAUGUACUAUAUGUAGUACUUACUGCUUGGAAAACAAAGCAAUUCUAACAAAGUAGAUUCUCCCCACCCAAUUUACACUUCACGUUACAAGCUUUACUAUGAAGCCUAGAAGCCUAAAAAGGUUUGGUUUAUAAUUAGAAAUAAAAAUAUUUAUUUGAGGAAAGUCUGAGGGAAAAAAUACCACUUUUUAAAUCCAAGAAAUGGCAUGGUCACAGUACUGCUCCUGUCUGCGGUCUUCACUGUACCUUCGAAUGGGUUGAAGUAUGGAGCUCAGUAUGGAAGCGGACGAUGACCAUAACUGUUCAGAUUACCAGAGACCAAAAAAAAAA